UAUUCUCUAGCCAUAAGUCUAUAUAUAAAGAUACAAUGCUUCUAGACGCCCAAACCGAGUCAGGAGUAAGAAGUUUGUGUCUUCUCUUAUGGAAGGGAAAGCUAUUCUUCUUUGCCUUAUGGUGCUUGCGCACGUUGGAAAUUCCAUUCAUAUUGGUAAGAAAUCGAUCUCCCCAUCCCUAUAUAUGUUUCCGUUCUCCUAUCAACCAAAGUAGGAUAAUAUUGUCACUUAAACAUCAUGAAUAUUUUCAUAUUUUCCCCAAUUUGGACUUCUUUUUAUGGUGUGUGUUUUUCUUUACAGAUAAAUGCAAGGAUCUAGUUCACCCGCAAAGAAAAACAUGCAAGGAUCUAACUGCUUCUAUCGGCCGUGAGUGCAAUCUGUCAAAAUGCCAGGUGACCUGCAAAGAUUUGUUUGCAGCAGAACUCACAGCCUCAUGGUGUAUCAACCCCGUCCCAUACUAUUGGCAUUGUAGGUGCCGUAUCUGUUUGUAGAGUUGCACUGAAAAAUCAUGUCGAAAAAUGGACAAAUGAUGUGAUCCGAUAAUAAAAUCUUCCUGUGACAUGCAUCUAAGAAUACAUAACGAUUGCCAUUUUAGGUGUUCUAUUCGUUCUUGUCAUGUGUUCGAUAUUGAUCUGGUAAUUUUAGGUUUGCAUGGCCUCGUGAUUUAUAAGUUAGAAAAACAACCUUAUACGACAUGAAUGAAUCGACCUAAUUAUACC
rnacentral:lncRNA from 1 species